GGGAGCAGGGGGGUGACACACACAGGCUGACAUCAGGGAACAAGCUUCCUGCGGACCCAGUCCCACAGCAUGGCAUCACUGAACAUCUGUGCAACUGCACACCUGUAAAGGUGUGCCGGCCACACCACAACUAUGGGGCACAUACCAGUUGAUGAAGUGACAGAUGCUCACCCUGGGGUUGAAAAGCCCCCAGCAGGAGGAUUAGCGGUCAGUACUCUCUGCACCCAGUUAUCUCAUCCUUUAAUGUAUCCAAGGUAGGAAGAUGGUAUGACCACCUCCCAGUCCUAGAGGGUAGUCCUAAGCACAGGCUGGAACAGCCUCAGACUGAACCCUCCCCACCCACGGGCUCCCAAAGUCCCCUCUUGCUUUUGCAGACUGUACCCCUUGCUGGGAGUCAGAUACCCAGAGUCCCAUUCAGGGCACAAGGACACAGCCCUUCCUAAGGAGCUCCUAAGGCCCAGCCUUCUGCCUCUCUCCUGCCUUCCCUUCAAAGCUGAGAUGAGGGACAACCCCAUCCUUAAGGCUCCAUGCAGCCAGCCUCCCCAGACUCUAGCCCUGAGGUCUGAGCCUAGCUGGGCACAGGCCCUGUGGCUGUGUGUUCCUGCAGGGUGUGUGUGUGGUGUGAGUGUGGUGGCGGCAGGCUGCUCUUCACGCAUGGUUGUCCCUAAAUUGUUCACUCUCUGGGUUCUUUCCACCUCACACCCACCCAGAGCCCAGGCCACCCCCACGUUCAGAUCAACAGAUGAAGCUGACUAGCCCGGGGUUGCUCAAGCAGUCCACAGCAGGAGCCCCAACACAGAUGACCUGCGUGCUAGGCCUGGGCCACCUAGAAGGGUCUGCGUGCCAUCCGAGGAGAACGGUCUGACCCUCAGCUCUACUCCAGGGCUGGCAGCCGCUGGACCCCGAUAGGAGGGGUGUGGGGGUGACUGGGACUCUGAGGGGAGCUGCCUGAGGGUGGAGGGGAGUCCCCAGGGUGAGAAACACCUGGCCCCAAAGGUCUGGCAGGGAUCAACAGCAAGAGGGAUCAGCAGCAUCUUCCUGGCUAGGGGCCAGCAGCUCCUGCCAGCCUGGGCACUCAAGGCCUUUGUCUGGCUGCCUUUUGACCUCUUUAUUUGUUAUCACACACACCCCCCGCUCCUUUGUCAGCUUCUGCACAGGCCAUUUCUUCUGUCCCACAUCAUCUGGCCUAGCCUUCAAGGCCUUCUCUGAGUCUAGGAAGCCUUUCCAAAUCCCACCCCAUCUCCAGGCAUCAAAUACUUGGUGGGCAGACAGCCCCAGAAGGGGGGAGGGGUGAGUCACCCCUGGAGCCUGUAAACCAAAGGUGAGGUUCCAGGCAAGGGAGCCAUUUCAGGACACACUGCUUCCUCCUCAACCAGGGCAGAGACCUAUGUGCUACUUGAGUGACGCGGAGGAAAAGGGAGAGGCUGGGAGACAGAAGAGUCAAGUGGAUUCUGUGAGGCAUCCCUUACCCGAGGACCCCCCACCCCCCCACCCAACACCCAGUAUUAUGCCCUGUCUUACCCAGGGCUAAAGUCCCAGGCCACACCCAGGCUUAGGUACAGCCCCGAAGGGGGAGGAAGAGGGAGUCAAGUUACAGGAGCUGCGAGACUCAGAGCUGGGCGCAGGGGCCAGGUUACCCUGGAAACCUGACCCUUGAACACUGAGGAGCCCACCCCCAAUCUCACCCUCCCAGCACUGGGCUAUACCAACAACAGCCAGGGCGGAGGGUUAGAGGUGCCCAGGCCUGCGCAGAGACAGCCAGGGUGGUGGUUCACAGUGGCCUAGACAGACAGGUGCCUCCCUCAGCCUGGAAGGGAAGCCCCUGCCUUCCCCUCAUAGUGGAGCUCAGGGGCAGCCUGUGCCACUGGCAGGUGUCCCAAGCAGCCCUGAGUGGGGCCGUGGAAGGGGACAGGGGAAGCAAUAGUGAUCUGUGACACUUGUGUGCGCUUCCUUCCACCAGACCUACUCUGCUCUGGAAGUAAGCCAAGCUCUCCUAUGUGACUCCCUCAGGUCCCCAGAGUGCCAGUCUCAGAGUGGUGACUCCCUCAGGAGGUGUCUUGACAUCAGAUGGGGACAUGUGACGGUUGUAGGAAGCACACAUUGCCUAACUGAGGAUGAGACACAAAGGCCCUACCCACAACGGGACAACCCGGUCCGAGUUCUUCAGACAUGGCUCCACUACAGUCUCCAUGGCCUUUCAUGGCCACUCUGCCAAGGGCUCAAAAUGUAUCCUCCUGAGUGACA